GGGGUUGAUUGGAUUUGACAGCAAGAUGAAAUGGUGGGUAAGCACGUCGGGAGCAGUGAAACCGGCCCGUAAAUCCCGGACACAAAACUAUAACUGGCGAAAAUUCUUACGCUCUUGCCGCCUAAUCGAAGUAUAGUAGAUUGGCCUAAUCCCGGCUCAAGGAGCUGGGACAAGACGCAUCGCGGAAGCCCUUGUCUUGAGGCUCGCCGAUUCUGAUGUGCAGCAAUUCGGGACUGGCUCGUAUUAGCCUCGUAAUGCGGGCGAGAUUUAGAGGAUAAGGCGUUGGUAGGUGGCUUUGAUCCGGCCAGCGCACGAAAACCAAGUCGGAGCUAAGCGUGUAGAAAGCUCAUGGUUUCCUUGUUUGGACCCGGGUUCGAAACCCGGCAGCUCCACAA
rnacentral:tmRNA from 1 species